GUAUUUCUAAUGCUAGGUAUCUUUUCUAUGGAAAGUUCAGUGACGUGGAGAAAAGGUUAAUUUAUGCUUUUUCACUGGCUGUAAAUAACUUGCCCCACCCCUUUUUUAGCUAUAUGCCUCCUGUCCAUUGGGUAGUUGAUGCAGCAGUGUAUGGCUAUAUGUAUAUGUGGGUGUUAUAUAAUACCAGUGUCAAGUUUCUACCUAGGAUACUCAGUGGGUAGAUUCUGCUGUGCUGUCACACAAAGAAGAAAAGCUACAUGGAUUUUCGGUAAUGCAAGAUUAGAAGUUGCUCAUGGUUCAAUGAGACCGUGUACGGAACUCUUUCAUAAAUUUUCUCAAGGGAAGAAACAGUACAACUUUCACGCCUUUACUUCCUUCAGAGGAAAAGAAAAGGAGAGAAAAGGAGGGACAAAGUCUGAAGAUCAUGGUGAAAUUGGCAGCUAUCCUUCUCUGGGCGGGCUGUUUUACACUCACUCUAGCAGAUGGUAG
rnacentral:lncRNA from 1 species